AGCGAACAAUUCGUGUAUAGAAAUUGUAUACAAAAUAUUAACCUGUACUGCAGAUUCACGCGGAAACACUUUUUCGCUAAUCCCCUCGCCAGAGUUCUUAUACCCUUCCUCUCCUCUCCGAGUUCUCUACUCGCUCGAAGUGGAAUUUAUGUUUUUUUUUUCCAGAUUUUUGUAAUUUUUAUUUUAAUGAACCGGUUCUAGCUUACUUGUUUUGAUGUCUUUGUACAAAUUUCAUCACCGUUGUUUGUUUUUUUUUUUUUUUUGAUUUUUGUCGUAUGUAUGGAUGGUUUAAUAUUCGUUUUAAAUAAGCUGUUAUUUGUCGUACUUGGAGGAAUUUUAUUUUAUGAUUCUUUGUUAUCUUGUCGGUUUAGUUUUGAUGUUUCGGGACAAAUUUCAUGGGCAUUUUCUAUUUUUUUAAAAGAAAAUCUGCUUUUCCCGUUGUAGGUUCGAUAUCCGAUUCAUUUUUUUGGUUUUUCUUCUAAUUUUUAUUUUAAUCGAUCUGCUUUAUCUUCUGUAUAUUUUAAUGCAAAUGUCGUCAUCUUUUGAGGAUUUCUCCUUUUUUUUCAUUUUUUCGUUGUGUUGAUGGUUGAAUAUUCGUUUUAGAUUAACUUUUCUUUUCUCCCUUUUCUGAAUUUUAUUUUUAAUCAAUCUGUUCUAUCUUUUUGGUUUGUAUUUGAUGUUUCUACAAAUUUAUUAACCGUUUUCCCCUCUUUUUUUGAUUUUUGCCGUUGUAUUGAUUGUUUUGAAGUUAACUUUCGUUUUUUAUUUAGAUUUCACUAUUUUAACUGUGAACUGAGACGUUUUCAGAGACACUUCAAAGAUAAUACAAAAAGAUUCUUUUUCUGAUCUUGUUAAUCAAUAAUUUUGACUACCUUUUUUUUCUGAUUUUUAUGAAUUGCAAAGGCUGCAAAGGCCAAGAAGGUGUUGACGAAGAAAUUGAAGAGGGUCUUCAACUAUAGCAUUUGGAAGGGCGUGCAUGGAGAAAAAUUAUUGAGCAAGAAAAACCUUUGAAAGAUACAGCCACUAUAUUGCAUUAGUGACGUACCUCAUGGAUUCAGCGAGGGUCAAAUAGAAGGUUUGUUCAAGCAAUUUGGUGAAGAGACUAAGAAUCACAUGGAAGUGAAAGGUAUGCAACAUUUCAGUGGUGUCAAAGGAAACUUACAUUUACAAUGAAGACUAGAAAGAUUGCGGAAUUGAAAGAGGUUGGCAUGGAUAACCAAUGGUUCAGGGUUAUGCAAGAUAUCUGUACAGGUAAACUGAAACAUGUUAAAUAUUUGAAUCAACCUUGUUCAUCAAUUUUAUCAUGGCACUACAUUAUCAUCUUUAUCAUGCCACUACAUUAUCAUCUUUGGCUAGAUAUACCACAGUUUAUUUACACGAACUAAAGUUAACUAGCCAAUAAAUUUCAAGAGGAAAAAAAAAUUAUGAACAUCAGCAUUGCAAUGAGGAUGUAUGGUUUAUACCAUUUUGGAAAGUUUUACAGUGGUCUAAAAUUCAAAAUUGCCUACUUAACAUGAAGAUGCUGGAAAAAUAAAAUUGAAUCAGACACGAGUUUAGAUAUAUUAAUUGAUUACAAGUAAUACUGAAAGCUAUUGAUUCUGAAGUAAUUAGCUGCACGAAAUUUGUCAUGGAACAGGAAAUGAAAGUGUUGAUAAUAUUGUGUGACAAUAUCCAUGCAAGAAAGGACAUAAAAAAUGAAAAAUGCUGCAUAUCGAACUGAUAUAUUUUAACCGACAUCAUAGGGAUCAGACUGUCUUUUUCCCUUUUCAUUUAAAAAACUUGCUACUUAAUAUUACUUUUUCAUAAUAAUUUUACAGUAUAAUAGCGCUUAUUGGGUUAGAACUGACUGAAAGUGUCUGCUUAUGGCUAUAUUACCAGGGACAUCAUUUCCUCUAAUUGGAUGGUCUUCUUCAAGUCAAUUUGUUGAAACUCCAGGUGCUUCAUGUUUGGGAAAGUUGCAAUACUCUAUUUCAAUUGAUUCACUGCUUCUAUGAAACGUUGGUGGAGCUCUGGGGUCCAUUUCAAUCGAGGCUUUGCAUCAGUCGAGAGAAAUAGUCCUGAACUUCCUGGAGCAUUUUCUCCUUGUAGGACUGGUGGAAAGGCUGCCUUAGAAGAGAACAGGUCAUUCUGUCCUUGAUGUUGACGAUACAUUUCCUUCUGAUGAAUGGAUAUCAGGUUGAAGAUAAUUAAAGAAGUUUUCAGUUAUUUGGCUCAUGUAUGAAUCCGAUGUCCAUUGCAAAGUCAAAACCUUUGAUUACAGGUAAUUUUUCAUAACUUAUUUAUGUUAGCAAUUAUGCUCCUUGUCUGUAUGCCUACGUUAUUACACCGGUUUCAUAUCUGCUAUUGCUUUGUAGUUUAUCUAGACUUCUGUCAUAAAUCUUUAACAUUACUUGCAUUAUAUUCAUUCACCAUAUUUUGGCUCACGCUAGGUUCUGGAAAGCUUAUAUGACCAUUCUUCGUAUGUCAGAAGUCUUGAUUAAUUUAAUAUAUGUUCAGGAUAAAAGAUAGCUGAAAACAUUACUCUUUAUGUCGCUGAUGUCAUCAUGCCAAGACUAGUGUGCACAUGUACCUCAGAUAGCUUGAAUAAAGUAAUUUGAGAGAAUUUACCUCUGCAGUCAUCUUAAGGUGAAUAACUUAUGCAUUGUUUAAUGGCCUAUGUGGCCCUAUUUUGAUCUUCAGAACCUGAACUAUGUCCUUGGUUCAUGGACAUAGUUUUACAUAAAAGGAGAGACUAAAACAAGCUAUGUUUUGUAUUUUUUUUAGUGUAUGAAGUAUCUUUACAUGAGAACGGUUCUGAUCCCUGUAGAAUGACAUGCCAUUAAGAAUUAAUAGAUAGAAAACUACAAGAUACCAGUUCUCUGUUACACCAGUUUAAGGGAGACCACAUGGUUUACAUGUAUAAUGGGAACGUCAGAUUACAAGGCUAUGCAUAAUAAUAUCCCAUCAUUUUAACAUCACGACAAUUGAGGAGAUGAGGCUUAUCUUGCUAGUAAGAAUUUUAAAACAGACUACAGCAAAGUGUGAAGAGCUUGCAUUGAUGUAAUGCUUUGAAAGUUUCCAUUAUGGCAUAUGUUGACACCCCAGUCCCGAAUGAUAAAGAUUGACAAGUUGGUAUGGUUCCUCUCUUUCAUAUAAAGAAUGUGCAGGAAUAUAUUUCCUCUUUUCUGUUUGAUCUUGACAGGUAGGUAAGACUUCUCCUUCGAACUCCAGUUACCCUCGCAUAGAGACAGCAACCCUCAUCCAGUUUAGCAUUUCCUCCAACCAUCCAGGUCAGUAGAGAAAGACGUGUCCUUAAAGGUCAAUGACGCAAAGAGCAGAGGCAUCUGAAACUUUUUUCUCCUUUAAUUGUUGAUGUACUCUAUCUUCCAUACGAAACGUAUAUAUUUCCUUUUCAGCUCCACCAUGUGACUUUUAUUCUUUGGUUAGUAAUCUAUAGGACUAGCCUGGGAAGUAAGGAUAACAGUUCCUGAUUCUGGUGGUUGUCUUUGGAUUCAGUAGGAAUUUUCACAUUGUGAAUCAAUUAGUUGGUUGCUGUUCAUGCAGUGUGGAGCUUCUGAUUAGUCCCCAAAUGUUAACCUAUACUGUGAUAUACACCCUAAGGAAAGGUUGAUGAUGACUGUUUUCUGGAGGGUUAAAAAAAGGUUAGCGAUGUGGGUUCCUUAAGUUCACACUCAUGGAAUUUGGGAAUUUGAAAUUUCAAACUUCAGGGCCCACCACCUGGCUUAUCCAAGAAAGCAUGGCUGAAGAGUCUGCUGUUGGAAGGGUCCUUGUCACAUUGUCUUGACUUACAAAUUUCAGCUUAUUCUGCUCUUCAUAUGUUGCAGUGCACAAAAUUCUGCAAAAUACAAGUAGCGUCUCUUCUGCUGCCCAAUUCUGGAUCUCUGAUAGCCCCGCCCAAUUGGCAAAUGCCCAUGUUGGGAGAGAGAACCAUAGGGGAUUUGGUAGAGGUUGCCCAUUCCAAAUCCUCAUUUUUUUUUCUUGGAACAGAGUUCAAUGAAAAGGUGAACUCUAGCAUCUCAAAUAUCUUUGGAAUGUGGGAUUGGAGGUCUUCUUACUCCCAACUUUCUCCUCACUGCGUACUCCAAGCUCUUUCUACCACUUGAGGGUUAUCACAUGCAUAGGAAAGUCAGGAAUCCGGACGUGCUUUUGUUGAAUUUUAAAUACAGUUUUAUGUUCAUUUCCAGCUUCUUGAUUUAUACUCACGACUCGUUGAAAUUCUACCAAAUGAUAUUUUACUUGUGUGUUUUUUUUUUAUUCUGAUAAUUAUGCUGUGCUCUAUCUAAACAGGAACCUCUCAAAUUUGAAUAUAUUAAAGUGACUAAACAAUGGAUUUGGAUCAGGAAAGUAGAGAGGUCUCAUCACAAAAAUAACCAUGAUCAGGAUAACCAUACGGGUGCGAGGACAGUUAAGAUUUUCUUCAUUUUGCUUUUAGUGUGACAAUAAAAUGAAAUUUGCCCUUGUGAACUAUAUGGGAUAUAUUGUUUUUGGCAGCUUGGCGUACUUCAACUUUAGGCUAGACAUGGCUUGAAAGUCCAAGUGGCUUGAGGUUGAAGGGUCGAAGAAGAUGGUGAGAGUUAAUCACAACUAGUGUUAAGCUAUCAAUUCAACAUUGCAGAAGAAAACGUGCUACCACAUUUGCCCCACUUAGACUAGUGAAUAUUUUCUGCUUAUGUCUCCUAGGUAUGUAAGCUACAGCCAAUUCAGCUUGCAAAUAAAUUUUAUUUCCUUUUCCUCCAUCCGUCAAAUGACUAAAAGGUUUAGUUGCCCUCCCUCACUGAUUAAUUUCCACCAGCAAUAGGCUCCCAUUGCUUGGUGCUGUUAACAGUAUUGUGAUGACUAUUUGGAUAAGUUAAUUUCAUAUAGAUCGAAUUCUGAAGUCAUAAGUUU